GUAGAAAAUGUAUAAAAAACCAAUUCAAACAAAUCGACUAGUUGACUUGGAAAAUUUUUACUACAAGUCUCGCAAUCAUUAUCGAAGUUAUUUUUAUAACUGCAAACUUCAUUGUGGAAAAUCAUGGACACUUCUAAGAUAAUUUGGAUGCACAUAAGUGGCUUCAUAGAAAUAGUUAUCUGCUCUAGUUAUAGUCUACCAAUUCGUAAUAUGGGAGGAGCUGUACCAAACUACUGGGGUUUUAUCGAUGGAACUAUUAUAGAAACUUGUUGACAAAGUAUCAUCACUAUGUAAAAUAUCAGUCUACUUUAUAUACUUGUUUGAAUGAAGCCAAUCAAGUAUUUCUUUUCAUGUAAAACCACCAGUAUUGGAAGAUUAUUUUGUUUAACAGUA